rnacentral:rRNA from 1 species
AUUGAACGCUGGCGGCAGGCCUAACACAUGCAAGUCGAACGAGUGGCGGACGGGUGAGUAAUGUCUGGGCAACUGCCCGAUGGAGGGGGAUAACUACUGGAAACGGUAGCUAAUACCGCAUACCAUCGGAUGUUCCCAGAUGGGAUUAGCUUGUAGGGGAGGUAACGGCUCACCUAGGCGACGCUCCCUAGCUGGUCUGAGAGGAUGACGAGCCACACGUGGACUGAGACACGGCCCAGACGCCGACGGGAGGCAGCAGUGGGGAAGAUUGCACAAUGGGCGCAAGCCUGAUGCAGCCAGGCCGCGUGUAUGAAGAAGGCCUUCGGGUUGUAAAGUACUUUCAGCGGGGAGGCGUUACCCGCAGAAGAAGCACCGGCUAACUCCGUGCCAGCAGCCGCGGUAAUUC